UCCUGUUAUAAUAAAUAUUACAUUUUCAGCUAAAGUUAUUAAUUAAUUAAUUUAUUUUAUUAAUUUAUUGAUUCAUAUGUGUAACUAAUUUUGUAAAUUUUUGCCUGAAUGAAGAUUUGAAUACAUCAUCGUUUAUCCUGGUUCCAAUAUGUCUAAGACGAACUUUCAAAAAUAAAUCUAUAAUCAGAUUAAUUAAUUGCUCUCUAUGAUUAUUGAAUACUCUCUACAUUCCCAAAAGAUAUAUUUAAAUAUUGAAAAUUAUUCCCGCGGUUUUUCAACGCCCGAUCCUCGGAACAAGCUCCACCCACUUGCACGCGUUAUCAUACCUAAUGUUCCGUCUAUUUCUUUAAGUCUAUG